ACGGAAGGCAGCAGUGAGGAAUAUUGGUCAAUGGGCGGAAGCCUGAACCAGCCAAGUCGCGUGAAGGAAGAAGGUAUUAUGUAUUGUAAACUUCUUUAGCAGCAGAGGAAUAAGGUGGACGUGUCCACUGAUGCUAGUAUGCUGAGAAUAAGCAUCGGCUAACUCCGUGCCAGCAGCCGCGGUAAUACGGAGGAUGCGAGCGUUAUCCGGAUUUAUUGGGUUUAAAGGGUGCGCAGGCGGUCUUUUAAGUCAGUGGUAAAAUCGUGGUGCUCAACGCCAUCCCGCCAUUGAUACUGGGAGACUUGAUUGCGGUUGAGGUAGGCGGAAUUCGUCGUGUAGCGGUGAAAUGCAUAGAUAUGACGAAGAAAACCGAUUGCGUAGGCAGCUUACCAAGCCGUAAAUGACGCUCAUGCACGAAAGUGCGGGGAUCGAACAGGAUUAGAUACCCUGGUA
rnacentral:rRNA from 1 species